GACACCGUCUCCGAGACCUCCAUGGCCGUCGCCAUGGCCGCCCUCGGCGGCGCCGCCGUCAUCCACUGCAAUGUCUCCGCCGUCCGCCAGGCCGACAUCGUCCGCUCCGCCAAGCUCCAUCGCAUUCCCUUCGCCUCUGACCCCGUCUACCUCUCCCCGUCCAACUCUGUCUCCGCCGCCGACUUCAACACAUCCAGCUAUGCUAUCAUCACACAAUCCGGAACCUCAAAG
rnacentral:misc_RNA from 1 species